CAGCGAGGCGCUUUGGCGCCCACGGCAGCUCCCCCCUUCCCCCAUCAAACCCUUCCACCCAGCUCGGCCGCUGGGAAACGUGGUUGUCGCCGCGGCCCAAACGUGCCCCCUACAGAUACCCGCGGGGUCAGGCCUCGCCACAGCCAGCGGCUCCAGCGCUAAUCGCGUCCUCCACCAGUUACAGUUCCACACAAGCACCCUGAGCAAAGCAGAAACAUUCACUGGAGGUGUGCAUCAGAGACGCACAGACAUCUGCAGAUAUGCAGCUGCCACAAGACAACCAGUAAUAUCCCUGCAGUUUACAAUCUCUUACAUCUCAGCUUCAGUUGUGGCUGCUGCAGUGGUUUCAGUUACCUCAUUCCAUAAAGGAUUGAUUUUGACUCUCUUCAGUGGGAGCAACGCCUUGUGUUCCAUUCAACCUAUUACAUUGUCUUUCCACUGUGGAAUAAUUGGAAGAUGGUGACUUCAGGAAGAGGUUACCCCCAGAUAUCAAAAUACACUGAAAAGCAUCAGAAUUCUGGAAGGUUUUCUGCAAAGUGGUGAGAGGUGAAAAUCUGGAGAGGGAAGAUUUUCAAAUUUUUAAGGGGAUUUCCAAUAGAACCUGCAGCUGCUAGUAACACCUGAGGAUAAUUUUCAAAGGUAGGACUUUUGAGUACUGUAUCUAUUUUGACUUUUGGGCUGAAAAUGGCGAAAGAAAUGCAGACUUGGAGAAAGAGACAGAGCAAAAAGAUUUCUUAUACAAAAUUCAAAUUGUCAUUAAUUUCCUCUGUCUGGACAAAAUUUGAAACAAAAACCUCCCUUGAUGAGAGUUAUGUCAAAGCAUAGGCACUGAAGAUCCCAGUUGCUUCAAUAGACAAAGACUGUACACAUACACAAAGGAAGGGUAUUUGUACAGGGUUCUGUAAACUAAGGACUUCAAGUAUCUUAUGGAAUAACAUGGAAUUGUAUUUUCUUUAUUUUAAAGUAAGGGUCUUACUUUUGUGAGUGCAUGAAUCCUGAAAAAAAGCAAGUAGCUAUUUUGUUUCCUGUCACUUCCCAAUCCCAACUUUACUAGCAUGACAUGCAAAAUUAAGAACGUCAGUAAUAGGUAAUGUCAUUAGAACUUCUCGUGUGGAAACAUUUUAAUUUUUCAAUUAAAACUUCAUAGAAGAGUUGGUUUUAUGACCUAAAGCAAAUGGUUGGAAAUUUAGUUUGGUCUGGCUCCUAUGCUUUCAGUAUUUUGGGAUUGCUACUAUGCAGGGGUUAAGCUGUAAGAAGAAAAGAAUGUAUUGUCGUACCUGCAGGAUUCUAGAAAUCCUGGUUAGGUUUCUCUUCUGAUCUAGGCAGUGAUAUGGUGGCCUUGCUUUUGUACUCUGAUGAAUUCAAGCUUCAGUGCUCUGAGUGCUCACUACUUCCUGACCUUUUUCCUAUUUUGCCCAGUUUUCAGGGGCUAUCUGUCAUAAUCAAUGAUACUGUGUUUCAUUGUGCCAAAAGAGCUCAGUUGGUGUCUUGCCAGUGCCAAAAGACAUGGAUUCAAAAAGAUAUUUGAGAAUGCUGAAAUGAAACUCUUGUGUUAUAUUUUCUUCCUGAUUCCUGUUUUAAAUCGUGCACUAUUGUAUUUGUCUUCAUCACAUACUCAAACUGACAGAGCCCCAUGUAACAAUAAACAAUACUGAACUGCCAGCCUUUAACUUUUACUGUUUGCUUAGGAAGUGUGUGGAAACUAAUGAGAAAGUGUAUGAAUUCAUUUUUGGAUCAAUGAAUGCUGAAUAACAGAUUUUGCAAUAAAAAUGGCUCAGGAAAAGACAAGAUACAUUUUCUGUGUGACAGCCACUUUUGGGUAUGUCAAACAAAGCUGUAAAACUUAACCAAUAUGUCAUGCAGACUUCUUGGAACAAAUUAUGCAGUUGCCUGACUCCAUUCUUUCAGAAAACUUUA